rnacentral:tRNA from 1 species
GGAACAUUAGCUCAGUUGGUUAGAGCAACCGGCUCAUAACCGGUAGGUCCCGGGUUCAAGUCCCUGAUGUUCCA